rnacentral:rRNA from 1 species
CCCUUAGAUGUUCUGGGCGGCCCGCGCACUACAUUGGCACCGGCAACAAGAUCCUAGAUCUGAUAUUUCGGGGUAUUCUACCAACUGGUGUCGUGACUGGGAUUAACCCCUGCAAUUAUUGGUUAUGAACGAGGAAUUCCUUGUAAUCACGGUUUAUCAACCCGUGUUGAAUGCGUCCCUGCCCUUUGUACACACCGCCCGUCGCUCCUACCGAUGAAUCGUCCGGUGAAGUUCAUGGAGUCGCGGCUGCUCCAGCUGUUUUCGAAGUGAAAUGGACCUCAUGAUUUAGAGGAAGGAGAAGUCGUAACA